GGUUCCUAGCGAGCCCAACCUCCCACCCGUGUUUACUGUACCUUAGUUGCUUCGGCGGGCCCGCCAUUCAUGGCCGCCGGGGGCUCUCAGCCCCGGGCCCGCGCCCGCCGGAGACACCACGAACUCUGUCUGAUCUAGUGAAGUCUGAGUUGAUUGUAUCGCAAUCAGUUAAAACUUUCAACAAUGGAUCUCUUGGUUCCGGCAUCGAUGAAGAACGCAGCGAAAUGCGAUAACUAGUGUGAAUUGCAGAAUUCCGUGAAUCAUCGAGUCUUUGAACGCACAUUGCGCCCCCUGGUAUUCCGGGGGGCAUGCCUGUCCGAGCGUCAUUGCUGCCCAUCAAGCACGGCUUGUGUGUUGGGUCGUCGUCCCCUCUCCGGGGGGGACGGGCCCCAAAGGCAGCGGCGGCACCGCGUCCGAUCCUCGAGCGUAUGGGGCUUUGUCACCCGCUCUGUAGGCCCGGCCGGCGCUUGCCGAACGCAAAUCAAUCUUUUUCCAGGUUGACCUCGGAUCAGGUAGGGAUACCCGCUGAACUUAAGCAUAUCA
rnacentral:rRNA from 1 species